rnacentral:rRNA from 1 species
UACGGAGGGUGCGAGCGUUGUCCGGAAUCAUUGGGCGUAAAGGGCGCGUAGGUGGCCCGGUCAGUCUUUGGUGAAAGCGCGGGGCUCAACCCUGCGUCGGCCAGGGAUACUGCCGCGGCUCGAGCACUGUAGAGGCAGGCGGAAUUCCGGGUGUAGCGGUGGAAUGCGUAGAGAUCCGGAAGAACACCGGUGGCGAAGGCGGCCUGCUGGGCAGUUUGCUGACACUGAGGCGCGACAGCGUGGGAAGCAAACAGG